GAUGAAGAACGCAGCGAAAUGCGAUAAGUAAUGUGAAUUGCAGAAUUCAGUGAAUCAUCGAAUCUUUGAACGCACCUUGCGCCCUUUGGCCAUUCCGAAGGGCAUGCCUGUUUGAGUAUCAUGAUCACCUCAACUCUUUAUGGUUUUCCAUGAUGAGCUUGGACUCUGGGGGUUUUGCUGGCUCACAGUCGGCUCCUCUAAAAUGAAUCAGCUUACCAGUGUUUGGUGGGUAUCAUGGGUGUCAUAACUAUCUACGCUUGUGGUUUUUCCACCAGGUAACCUUCAGCAGUGGAGGUUCGCUGGAGCUCAUAGAUGUCUCUCCUCAGUGAGGACAGCCCUUUGAAUGUUUGAUCUCAAAUCAGGUAGGACUACCCGCUGAACUUAAGCAUAUCAAUAAGCGGAGGA
rnacentral:misc_RNA from 1 species